rnacentral:lncRNA from 1 species
UUGAGGGGAAUGAAACUUAAGCCACUUGUAAACAAAUAAGUGAUGGUAACUCAAAGUUUGUGAAUGGAGAUUCCAUGAAUAAGGUUCAUAUGAGUAAAAAGAAGUCGUUUGUUAGCUCUGAUAGCACUAAAUUAAUUUUUAAUCAAUUAUGUCAUUUCCUAUGGUGUGUUUGAAAGUACUAGAGACUGCAUUACUGAGACUUCACAACUUUAGUCCAUCGUCCCUCCAACCCAGCUACUACCCUCUCCAUCACAUGUCGUCCCAAAGUACCCCACAUCAAUCUAGUCC